GUAAACUACUAGAGAUCGCUGCAGAUACCCGGAGUGAUAUGAAGAUGAGAAUUACGAUUCUUUUUUUAAUGUUUGUGUUAAUCACUUUUGAUAAAAGUUCCGUAGAAACAUGUCAAGUCAACGAAUUUACAUGUUCUGACGGAAACUGCAUUCCAAUUGCGAAGAAAUGUAACUUCGAUUUUGAUUGCCGAGAUCGCUCUGAUGAAAUUACAUGCCCUACUGUGAAAACAUGUCCCGAAGGUUUAAGCCGUUGUAGUUCAGGAAAAUGUGUUGUUCAUCAAUCGGAAUGCUCAACUACAGCUAAUUUUGGAAACCACACCACUUCAGAAAACAAAUCAGG